UCCAAAAACACAACUCCUUCCACCUUCCCCCUCUACUCUCAACUUCUCCUCUUUUAAUUCUCCUAUUUGAUCUUUUCCCUCACCAAAUUCCUUGCAUUUGGUGAUUAGAUUCUGGAAGAUCAGACUCAACUGAACCCUCUGGUUAAUUUAAGAUCUCUGCCUCCUUGGUACCAAUUCAAACUCCACCAAGCUCAAAUCUUAGCAAAAGAGAAGGAUCUAGGUGAUGAUACUCCUCCCUUGGACCGGAUAUGAUAUGCAGCUCCUGGUGUUUAUAUUGCUUUUUGAUUCGUGCUUUUAGAAUAGAGCAUUCUGGGAUGUAUAUGUUAUAUCUUUCCUUAAAAUAGGUUCUAUGAGUAGUUGGAAGUUUGAACAGGUUACUUGG